rnacentral:rRNA from 1 species
AUGGUGGCCGAGCUGCGGCGCGACGACAUGGCGGAGGAAGCGGGGAUCGUCCGCGACGCCGUGGCCUUCCGGCUCGUCGAGCACGUGCUCCAGUCCGUGCGGAUGGAGCCGUUUCUAGUUGACCCGCGUGAUCUGGAGCAAUAUGAGAAGAUGUUAAAAACUCUAGACACUAGCAAGAGAAAGAGUGCCGACGAUGAGGCUUUGUAUAUGACGUGUUUGAAGGCAUUGUCAGAUGCAGUAUCCAAAAUAGACAUCAUGUACCAUCAUUCACUUUUGAACAAUAUAUUCAGCGUCCGCAUCUGGUACUUGCAAAGAGAUACAAUGGUUGCUUUACUGGACCUAAUAACCAGAUUGGCUGCAGUGGCAGAUCAGUAUCUAAGAGAAUGUUUGCAGAUGCUUGUGAACAACUUUACUCCGCCUAUUGUUGGUGAACGCAAUGAGGUGCCUCCAUGGGCAGUCUCGAGGAAGAAGGAUAUUUUUUCUUAUCUGUGUGGGAGUUUGAAAACGAUCUCCGACACUGUACCCUUAGCACCAAGGAUGUUAAGGGAUAUAAUAGAUCGGAGUAUGCCGAAGUUAUUCGAUAACAAAGCUAAGAUGAUCUCGUUUGUCGAGUGCAUGUUGGGACUAGAUACUGACAGAAUGGGGGAUCUUAUCGGAGCUAUUUUGCUGGCCAAAGUUGUUGAUCUUCUUACAGAAUUGGAUGUUAAUAUAACCUGGGAAGAUAUUCUUCAAGAGGAACAUGACAAAGGUAUAUUUGAAAUGGAGCUUGAAGAUUUGGAUGCCGAUGAUGAUGGGGAUGGCUUUGGACAAGCAGGAACAAAGGUCUGUUUUGGAGGAAAUGCAUGUGCUGAAAAGCUUGAUGGUUUAAUGGUUGUUGUAUGCGAGCACCUUAAGUCAUUAGAUCGUCAGUGCCUAUAUAAGGAAUUUGACAUUCUGAAAACUAUAUUUCGAGCAUCUCUGCUGAGAGUGCACAGAUCAAAAUUUGCCCAGUUUAUCAUGUUCUAUACCUGCUCACUGGAUCCUAAAACCCUUGGUGAGGGUUUUGCUGUUUUUCUUACUGACAUUGUUACGGAAAAGAAAGAUGAUCCAAUUUCAAGAAUGUCUGCAGUUUCAUAUGUUGGAAGCUAUUUGUCUCGGGCAAGGUUUAUUUCUGCUGAUACAGUUGUUACUAUACUCAAAAAAUUAGUAGAUUGGUGCGUUGACUAUUGUGACCAUCAGAGCAAGAGAGAGGCCACACCAAUUCCAAAUCAUCAAUUAUUUUACGCGACCUGCCAGGCUGUGAUGUAUGUCCUUUGCUUUCGCUUGAGAUCUAUUAUGGAUUAUCCAAAUCUUAAAUCAGAUCUGUUUCACAUGCCUUUUGGAUUUCUGUUUCGCCACCGACUAGAACCUCUAAAGGUGUGCUUGCCUUCAAUAGUAAACGAGUUUCUGAGACAGGCCAAGGAUGCCGGAUUGGUUGCUGCAUUUGUGGAUCCAGCAGCUGAAGAUGCAAUUGAAUCUGAUUUGUCCAGGACUUUUGGAGGAAUCAAUAGACUUGACAUGUUCUUCCCAUUUGAUCCUUACCUGCUAAAAGAAUCUGACAGAUAUAUCCGUCCGAAUUUUGAGUUCUGGUCCAUGGUCAAGACAACGUAUAGCGACGACACCGACGACGAUGACGACGAGCUCGAGGACCUUGAUGCCCCUGAGAUGAAUGUGGGCAGCUUGGAUGAUCAUGUCGAGAUAGACAUCAACAGUGACGACGACGACCUGGAGUACACGAUGAACAAGAUGUCUAUAACCCCGCACCACUCUUUCUUACACCAGAUGGCCAUGGACAGCGACGGCGGCCUCAGCAUGCCAGCGAGGAUCAGACCAUCGACAAGCCCUCCGUCGCGGUGGGCCAUGUCAGGAGAAUCACCAUAG